UUGUUGUUGGGUUGGUGGCAAAUUCAAUGCUAGCAUUUUCAAGGCCACAUCCAUCUCUUUUCUCUCCUUUCUCUCUAAGCUCCCCCCACCCCACCUCUCUCUCUCUCUCAUUCAUUAAGAUGAGAGAAUCUCUCUGAACAGCUUCUUCACUCUUGGCGAGGACAUAUCCUCUCUCCUUCUCAUCUAUUAAUGUUUCUUCUUCUAUGUCCAGGACGCUGUUUUCAUGUGUCUUUUUACUAAUUUUGAGUCUCUGCUGUAUUUGUUCUGCAUUUUCUAUCAGGUGAAGCUCCAGGAAGAUGUUGUGAAAGCAUAGGGGGAAAGCAUGGUAAAAAAACACAGGAGUUUGCCAUCGAGAUAUUGGUGCGGUUCAAUCGGAGAGCAUCACUCUAAAGGGUAGAGUUCUGUUAUUUGAUUGAGCCGUGCCAAUAUCACGUACAACUGCUCAUGAUUAUGAUUUUUCCCUUUCAAUCCAAGUAUCAGAAACAACUCCCCCAAGGUAAUGCCCCCCCUCUCUUUUCAACCAGCCUCAAACCAUGCUCUUGGUAAUGGUAAAUGAUAAACUUUCGCUGCAACCCUUUUUCCCAUACUAAUCAUAAUCUCCUGCUUACUCUCUUUUGAUUAGAUUAGAGAUAAGUUGUACAUGUAAUGAGUGCAGAGUUGCAUGCAUGGUGGCUUGAAGAACCAGGUUAAGAAUAUACUAACAUAUUUCUGGACUUUUCAAGGUGCCCUAGCUAUCUGUUCUUGAGUUGCCAUCAAACCUCAAAGGUCAACUUUUCAUGCAGGGAAAUUCCACCAAACCUGGUUGUAAACAGACAAAAGACCAUGUCAAAAUUAUUGGGAUGAUCUUUUUUUCUUUACUUUUCUUUUAUUUUUUUAGUGGCUCCUGUUUUCCAUAUUUCUUGCUGUCCAAAAGGAAAUGAAACCAUUUGUUGAAUCCAGAGAAACUUUUUUGUGUGGUAGGUAAAGAUAGAUUCAAUAAAUAUAUGAAAUUGAAUA